rnacentral:rRNA from 1 species
UACGGGGGGGGAAAGCGUUGUUCGGAAUUACUGGGCGUAAAGGGCGCGUCGGCGGGUGGACAAGUCUCUCGUGAAAGCCCACGGCUCAACCGUGGAAUUGCGGGAGAUACUGUCUGUCUUGAGUCCGGGAGAGGAGGGUGGAAUUCCCAGUGUAGCGGUGAAAUGCGUAGAUAUUGGGAGGAACACCGGUGGCGAAGGCGGCUCUCUGGACCGGUACUGACGCUGAGGCGCGAAAGCUAGUGGAGCAAACGGG